CGUUUAGAACAUGCUUUGGUAACCUUGACCUUUCUUUAGAAGCCAUCGCUGUAGACUUGACCGAACCGGCGUUGAAAUAAUUCCACUAUGUCGUCUGCUUGGAGAGCGGUUGGCAUAAGCUACAUUCAGUACUCUGGCAUAUGUGCCCAGGCUGUGAGGAACGCACUGAAACCAGAAAUCCAGCAGCAAUUGUCGAAAAAAGGAGAGUCGAUCAUGAAAGUGACAAAGUGGGAGGGAGGAAAACCUAUCAAGGAUGUAGUGACGAAGGCUAGCUAACAUUGGCUGCUGGUGGAUGGUUUAGUGUGUGUAUUUGCUGGUGUUAGGUGUGUGAUGAUCCUAAGACUAGAGGACAUUUGACAUUUCAAUGAACAAGGACCACUCAAAAUUUCACCAUUGAGAGGACAUUCAAUCAAGCUAGUAAAUACAGGAUUUGGAUGUUAAAUAUAUAUCAUUUACAGCAGUCAGCUUUGUAAAUAAAAGGUAUAAAAGAC
rnacentral:lncRNA from 1 species